UUUAUUUGAUUUCCCUACAGAACAUUCUCACUGACCCUUACUCUUGAACUUGAAUGAAAAACAACAACCAGAAGCUAAUACUGACCUCAUUCACGUUAAUCCAUUGCAGAAUACUGUCCGUGGAGUCAAAAACACAAGAAACAAUCAACAAGAGAUUAAAACCAGUUUAUUUUGUCUCUAAGACAUUUCUCCUCAGGUUGAUAGAUGCGAAAGUGAACAAUAGUAAAAUAGUCAUGCAUAUAAUUCAUCUUCUCACAGAGAAUUAUGACUUUAAAAACACAGACUUACAAUCUGUAAGUCAGGAAGGAGGAAGGCCAUUUUUAGAGAGCAAGACCCUCAUAUAGUAUGUCAUUACCAAUAAGUUUACUCUGCUUUUUAUUUAAGAAUAAAGAAACUGAAUACUUGAAAUUCAUUUUUCUUACUUCUGCCAGUUGUUUACUGUUGUUUACCGAGAACAUAGCUUAUUUUAUACCUCAUAGAGUUCCUGCAUUUUCCUGAGUCACUGUUACUUGGUCACUCACUGAAUACAUUUUAUUGAGGGUUUACCAAUUGCCAAUUGCCAGUCACUGUUGUAGGUGCUGUGGGGCAAGAGAGAUUAAGACCUUGGCCUCUAAGUAAUAUUAAAUAGAUGAUAAUGUGAUAGAAAGUGACAGCUGGAGUGAGAGACUGUGCUUGAGUUAGGGUAAUCAAGAAAGGUCUCAUAGAAGAAGUGGUUAGGUAAGACUGGGUGUAGUCAUGUGAAGAUGUAGAGAAGAACUUUCCAAGCAGAAGAGACACAAAAUGCAAAAGCUAUGAGAUGGGCAAGAGCAUAUGUGUUAAUAAGACAGAAGGAAAGCCUGUGUGGAUGAGCAACGGGAAAAGAGAAGAGAAAAGAAAAGAAAGAUGAAGUCUGAAGUCUAAGGAACAGGAACAAGUCUGAAUCUUGUACAGCCUUGCAGCCCAUGCUGAGGCCUUUGAGAUACUAUAUGAACUGCUCCAACAUUCUGAAGAGAAGGUCUGGAUCAUUUAAGUAGGACUUGCAAAGAAAGUGGCCUAGAUCCUUAGCUGAGCUGAUCACUUACCUCAAACCUAUAAAGAAGUGGAGGGGCCAAGAAUAGGUGUUGGAUGUCAGCGGGAGAGUUUCAUCAAAGAGCUGUCAGUUUCAUCUCAACCUUACCCUCCAGGAGAGCUUAUUAAAGAAUUAAGGGGCCGGACACAGUGGCUCAUGCCUGUAAUACCAGCACUUUGGGAGGCUGAGGCCAGAGGAUCACUUGAAGCCAAGAGUUUGAGACCAGCCUGGGCAACAAAGCAAGACCCUGUCUCUCCAAAAUUAAAAGAAAAAAAAGGUUAAGACAGUGGAAUAGCCAGUUAGCCUGUGACCAUGUGUGUAGUUCCUGCUAAUGUGCUGAAAGUGCAAGUUUUAUAUGACACUGCCAG